rnacentral:rRNA from 1 species
UAGGGAAUUUUCCACAAUGGGCGGAAGCCUGACGCAGCAACGCCGCGUGGAGGAUGAAGGUCUUUGGAUUGUAAACUCCUGUCAGAGGGGAAAAAGGGACUGGGCCUAAUACGUCCGGAACUUGAUUGUACCUGCAGAGGAAGCCCCGGCUAACUCUGUGCCAGCAGCCGCGGUAAUACAGAGGGGGCAAGCGUUAUUCGGAAUUAUUGGGCGUAAAGGGCGCGUAGGCGGCCUAGCAAGUGGCGGGUGAAAUCCCUCGGCUUAACCGAGGAACUGCCUGCCAGACUGCCUGGCUCGAGACCGGGAGAGGUGAGUGGAAUUCCCAGUGUAGCGGUGAAAUGCGUAGAUAUUGGGAGGAACACCAGUGGCGAAGGCGGCUCACUGGACCGGAACUGACGCUGAGGCGCGAAAGCGUGGGGAGCAAA